UCAAUCUCUCGUUCAUUUCUUCUCUGUCCCGUUCGUUCCCCUAUCUCGAGCUCGGCAUGUAGGGUUCGCCGGCGAGUCUUCGCUCCCCGCCAUGGAGGCCUCCCCCCUGCGAGGAGGGCAGGCAGCGGCUUGCCCCCAGGGCCGACGUUCGCCGCCGAGAAGGGAUCCGUGGCGGCGCAUCUCGCACCCGAUGCAAGGGGAAUCGGCCUGUGGACGGUCCCCCGCUCGGCCGCCCAGUCCUUGGCGGCAGCGGCGGCCCCCGCGACCUGUGGCCUCCGGCUGGAAUGGCGGCGCGCUCGGCUCGCGGAUCCGUGAAGUCGGCCCCCCGCGCCACCGCCUCUCGCCGCCGGGUGAGGGUGAGGGUGAGGGCGAGACCCAGAUCUGCCAGAGUAUACUUGUCUGAUAUUGCUCUUGUUGGUUUUGCAGUCUAUAUGUGCUGAAGUUUGCACAGAUUUCGGCAACAACUCUGAUGCUGAAUCAUUCAAUGGACUGUGCAAGUUUGCGAACAAGGUCAAGGAGCUGUUCCUGUAGAGUUCAGUAUCUGACAUGACACAUUUUGGCCAUCUAAGCGGAAGUUGUUGUCUUAGAUUUAUGAUUUGGCUACAUGUUUCUUUAUAAUUCAGUGAUCUGCUGCUGUCAGUAUUGGGCAUCUUGUAUGACCUAUAUUAACCUAAGCUAUGUAACAAGACAAGUGAUUCAUGGUCUCAUGUAGUUGAUGACAUUAUUGCGUCUGUUUCCUCCAAGCAAAAUGAUCAGAAGCUUUAUGUUACUGUCA